CGAAACUCCAAUGAUAUCUACAACUAGGAUUUAUAAGAUAAUUCUUGAUAAGUUUAUGUCAAACUAAAGCUACUUUUAUGUUGGGUUUAAGCUUGUUGGAAUUGUCACUUUUAUACAAAGUUGAUAAGAAAACUAGAAGAAAAUCAUGUGUGUCGUCGAGUAUAUUCCACUAUGUCUUUAUGAGUCAUGAACAAUAGCAUACAACUUAGAAUUAUCAGAGAGAUGGGUCAAAGAUCCACUUUCAACAGUGUUGAUAUUAUCCUUAACUUGUUAAUUACUAUCUGCAUAGUCUAACGAGUGUGAGGUUUCACACAAAAGAUCUCGGUGUUAGUUGGAGUGGAGUUGGGAUAUUUAAACUCUUCUUUUCUCAAAGAUACAACGUGGGACCCAAUUAAUAGGUCACACGUAGGAGAUCCAUACAUUGUCAAGGAGACUCACCCUACAUGCAGAUGGCCAAAGGGACCCACCCUGGCUCUCUCUACGGGCCCUCUCCCUGGCUCUUUUGAUACCAUGUAAAAUUAUCAUAGAGACGGGUCGAAUGCCGACUACCAACAACACCAUUAAUUGCCACUUGCACAGUUCGAUGAGUGUGGAGUUUUAUCACAAAAAGUCUCAGUGUUAGUUAGAGUGGAGUUAAGAUAUUUAAACUCUUCUAUUCUUAAAGAUACGAUCGAUGUAGAAUAUUUUAAUAAAAAUUUGUUGGUAUACAUUAUUAAUCAACAUAUUAAUUCAAUAAUUAAUCAUAAAAAAGAUUAUGGGAAACCUACACUUAUAAAGCAAAACCAACAAAAACCAUACUAACAAAUCCAAAUAAAUCUAGAUAUUGCGGCAAAAUAAAAGGUGGCGAAAGCGAAGGAGGGAACAGAUGUGGAUCGUGCUGAAGCGUCGUAGGGUAUCGCAAAGGGAUCGCUUGUCUAAAAGCCAAAGCAGAGACAGAGAGGGAGGAAAAGCAAGACCCGGUCAAGGCUGGCUAGGGCUUUUACUUUUUCCUUUUUUAUUCGGACAAAACCAUGACCGUCUAUUUGUCACAGAACAAGGAUCGAACCGCGUACAUCUCCAUCUCUAUCGCUUCUCCUAGUUCUUAUUUCCUCUACGUGAUUACAUCACUCAACCUUCUUCGUACCCUUCGUUUGCAAGUAAAUCUCCAAACUGCCAUUACACAAGUAUAUACGUGGAAUUUGCAUUUCUCUAAUGAAAAUUGAGGAUUAUUGCAAAUUCUUUUCCCACAUACUUAACAUUAACAAUCUGGAUGACAUAACGUGUUGAAGAACAAACUAAUUACCUAGGAGAGAUAAUAGCUCAAGCUUAGCCCACAAACAUGCUCUAGACUCGAACUCUAGAGAUGUUGCCUUCCCAGCCUGUGUCUUCCACCAAGAUAUCCUUGUACUAGUCCGUAUCGUGUUUAGGUAAAUCCGUGAUGUAAGCACUCCACAAAAGACUACACCUGGACUGGAAGAAGUAAAGGGUACCUGAGCCCCUCCUCAUAAGAAGUAAAGACUACACCUCGACAAAUUGGUGCUUUCAUUGAGAGCUAAUUCAAAAUACUCGAAAAAGCCUCUUGCAUUAGUUUCUUGAAUUUUUUGUUACAUUGAAUUUCUUACACGUCAUAUCAAUUAAUUUUUCCUAGAGAAGUUUCUUGAUCAAUCCCUAGAGAAAGGAUACAAUGGUAGGAAAUUCAAAACUACAACGAACAAAACCUCCUACGUGCAAGGAUUUGGACCAGAGAGUGGAGACUAGGACAUAGCCCUACAACGGAGGUCCUUAAGGCUCAACACGAC
rnacentral:lncRNA from 1 species